AGCAGUGUGACUUAGUGGACAGAGCACCUGCCUGGGGGUCAGAAGGAUUUGGGUUCAAAUCCUUACUCUGCCA
rnacentral:tRNA from 1 species